UAUGUUGGGCAGAAGCCUUGAUUUGAAAAGUUUAGGUCCAUGAUCGGAAUAAUCCCAUCAGAAUAGGUGUAUCACACAUAAUUCAAGCGAAAAUUCAAUAUAUUACAAAUAAAUAGUUAUAGUAUUUAUGAAAUAGACAUCACAGAAAAUACUUCAUCCUUCAACUCCUCAGCAAAUCCCAGGCCCAACAAAUGCCAAUACAAUACUUUUUCAAUAUUAACUUAAACAAAGCCGGAACUGCUGCUGCUUCAUGGAAACAAAAAAAGGAACACAAAUUUUAUGUAUUUGCAUGUAACAACAAAUGGGGAACAACGGAUUGAUUUGUCUUCCACUUCUUCCGAGUAGCCAGUUCUUUUGGAUUGCAGAACAUCCUGACAUUUACAAGGAGCAAACAGGAGAAAGACAUACAUGAGAAAAACAUACAAACCACAAGGAAAAGAAAAAACAUAUUGCACCCCCUCUCUGCAGACUACCAUGAACAUAAAGAACUCAUGGAGUGGAUACCAUUACAGGCACAAACAAACAAAACUAGACGUAAAAUUUUGCCCACAGUAUAUGAAUUGGGGUUUGUUUCCA
rnacentral:lncRNA from 1 species